rnacentral:rRNA from 1 species
CAGCCGCCGCGGGAAUACGUAGGUGGCAAGCGUUGUCCGGAAUUAUUGGGCGUAAAGGGCUCGCAGGCGGUUUCUUAAGUCUGAUGUGAAGGCCCCCGGCCCAACCGGGGAGGGUCAUUGGAAACUGGGAAACUUGAGUGCAGAAGAGGAGAGUGGAAUUCCACGUGUAGCGGUGAAAUGCGUAGAGAUGUGGAGGAACACCAGUGGCGAAGGCGACUCUCUGGUCUGUAACUGACGCUGAGGAGCGAAAGCGUGGGGAGCGAACAGGAUUAGAUACCCGCGUAGUCCCUGUCUCUUAUAC